rfam:Schistosoma rodhaini strain Burundi genome assembly, scaffold: SROB_scaffold0008806
AUCCAGCUGACGAGUCCCAACUAGGAAGAAACACGCGUCGUGGAU